rnacentral:tRNA from 1 species
GUCUAAUUAGGUUAAGUUAAACUUUCAACUUGUGGUGUUGGAGAUUCAAUAAAUGUAUCGAUAGGACU